UACAGAGGGGCGGAGCGUGUUCGGAAUUGACUGGGCGUAAAGGGCGCGUAGGCGGCCAACUAAGUCAGACGUGAAAUCCCUCGGCUCAACCGGGGAACUGCGUCUGAUACUGGAUGGCUUGAAUUCGGGAGAGGGAUGCGGAAUUCCAGGUGUAGCGGUGAAAUGCGUAGAUAUCUGGAGGAACACCGGUGGCGAAGGCGGCAUCCUGGACCGAGAUUGACGCUGAUGCGCGAAAGCCAGGGGAGCAAACGGG
rnacentral:rRNA from 1 species